rnacentral:rRNA from 1 species
GAAUGCCGCGGUGAAUACGUUCCCGGGUCUUGUACACACCGCCCGUCACACCAUGGGAGUCGGAAAUGCCCGAAGUCUGUGACCGAACCGAAAGGAAGGAGCAGCCGAAGGCAGGUCGGAUGACUGGGGUGAAGUCGUAACAAGGUACC